rnacentral:rRNA from 1 species
GAUCAUGGCUCAGGAUGAACGCUAGCUACAGGCUUAACACAUGCAAGUCGAGGGGGCAGCAUGUUGGUUGCUUGCAACCAAUGAUGGCGACCGGCGCACGGGUGAGUAACGCGUAUCCAACCUACCCUUGUCCAUCGGAUAACCCGUCGAAAGGCGGCCUAACACGAUAUGCGGUUCACAGCAGGCAUCUAACGUGAACGAAAUGUGAAGGGAGAAGGAUGGGGAUGCGU